UUCAGUUUCCAAAACCCACAUCUAGAAGCUCACACUGGACUGUAAGACUUCAUUUUUUAAAAAACCACUCUAACAUUUACCAGGGACAGCUAUCAGCAUUCCUCCUUCAUGUUUCUGUGCAAGCUGACCAUGACAUCCUGAAAGGUUUUGCAUUUCUUCAGCUGAUGGCUUUGAGGCUAAUGUCAUUGAUCAUCGUGGUACCCAGCUCAUCAUUCCAGAGAAAAUGAGAGGAAGGGAAAGACAAUCUCAAGCAUGAAGGAAUAGUGGAUUGCAACAGAAAGGGAGAAUUCUGAGGCCUGAGUUUCAUCAUUCAUCCCAGCAAAGAAUGUGGGUAGCCAUUCCAACUUUGACCUGGAAGUUCCAACUCCCAUUGAGGCUUCGGUAAUGGUCACGCCUACAAGGUGGGGCUGAUGGGGGGAUGCUGAAGACCCGAGAUCCGGAUGCCCAAGUAGUCUUGGUUCCUGGACCCUGGACGUUGAAUGUAGACUGAGCAGAGUUCUCCAGAGAACACCGCCCGACUGCACCUUUCCCAGACCAUGUAGCCUAUCCCUUUCCUUCUAAUGGAUUCUGAAUUCUCCAUAGGAAUUAGAGCUCAAUGAAAACCAACCAAUGAGGGUUGAGCCCACUUAUGCCUCUCUGAUCUCUCCCACUUAUGCCUCCCUGAUCUCCUUCAAAUUCACGAUCUCUUUAAAACUCUUAUUGUAUACAUGUAUAUAUUUGUACAUACAUAUAUACUCUCAAAUAUAACCUGUUGAGUCCAUAUAAUAUUACUUGUAUGAAUAUUUUCAGGGCUAACACACCAAUUGGUUUUCCAAAGCCAAAUGGCCAUCCUUGAAAAAUACACAUUCUUUUGAGUUUUAUUUUGAAUUAGACUUUAUGAUUAAGUAGAUGCCUGGAAUUGGUUAGGCAUAGGGCUUGGAGUAGGUGAAUAAAGGGGCUGUAAUAAAAUUGUGCCUCCAGAGGAUGUCAGGCAUGGUACUUGCUCCUUAUAUCUUUUAGUGAUAUCAUAGAAAACAAUGGAAGAAACUAAUAGCUCAUGGACCCACCUCAUGUUACAUCUCCACAUGUCAUCAUUUUUCUGUGAGAGAAAGCAAGUGAGAAAUGGUUUAGUAUGGUGCUGUUCAGCAUUGGUUUUUAUUGUGUGGAUGUGUUAGCACUUUUAAUUUCUUCUGAGUUGUGACAUUUAACUGAGCCAUGACCCCAAGUAGUCUUGUUCUAGGGAAGAACACUUUGAGGAAGCCUUGACCUUGACUUCAACCUGAAAUCCAUAAAUGAAAUCUGCAAGUUUGUAUACCUGGAGUGCACCACAUCAAGAUUCAUAGUUCUUCAGUAUACCAUGUGUACCAAAGUUUACAAAAAUCACUAGAUUACUGCAAUGUGCACAUAUGGUUGGGAAUCAUUGACACAGAAAUCAAAGUAGAAACUAAAGAUGACAAAGAAGGAUUAGUUUGUAGUUGUGCUUGAACAGCAUAGUACAAGGUUGCACCGCAAUCAUUCCCAGCUCUGUAUCUGUGAGGGAUUUGUUCCAUGACUCACCGUCUACAGGGAAACUGAAGUCUGUGGAACUUAAGUACCUUAUAUAAGAAAUUCUGUCAUUUUUGCUCAUAGCCUUUGAACAUCUUUCUCUAAACCUAAGUAAUUUCUAGACGACUUUAUAGCUUAUGCAAUAGAAAUGCCAUGUGAACAACAAUCCUAUUAUUAUAAAUUUUAGGUGAUAAUGAAUUGUUAAAAAUAUGUUCAUGUUCAAUACAAAUACAAUACUUUUCCAAUAUUUUUUCUGUUGAAAUAUUUGGUUAAAUCUGAGGAAGUGACAUGCACAGAUCUCUAGGAUAGCUACUUACUUAAAGUGAACUAUAAUAGAUUAACUGUUUCUGUGGGAUGCAACUAUAGGGAAUGCUACUGGGCCUAAUGCCCCAACAGGCCACCAAUUCCGAUAAAAUUAAAGAAUUCAGCAUGCAGGAAUAAGACUUAGAGACACCACAGGGUCUGGCUCAAAACUAGACCUGCUGUCUGUACAGUUUCCUGUAUUGUUUGCAGCUAUUUUUAUCUACAACUACCAGAGCAGGAUAUUUUUUCUCUAAGCAGAUGUGUUUGGGGCCUUUCCAGGAGAGUUGAUGACAAACCAGUGGAAAUCCAGGUGGUGUCACUAGAUGCCAUCUUUACCCCAGACCCUGCCUGGCAGGAAGAAAACUAUCCUAUACUUUUAACAAUCCAAAUGAUGUAUUCAGCAGGCUUUACCCAUAAGGGCAUAUCACAAUUAAGGAACAAACAGAGGUUAAUGUGGAUAGGAAAGAAGAGCAGUAAGCAUAUCCAUUAAUCAAGAUCCUGUUUACACAUCUGCUAAGGAGGGAGAUUUUCUCAUUAACUUAAAGUGAAACCCAGUGUUUGAUAACAGCUGUCUUUUUGUGACAAUGUUGAUUGCACCUGCCUCUGCAUCCCAUCUAAGAAUUAUAGAAUGUACACUUUAGAAAUUAAUCUUCACUUUGUAAUUAAAAUAUUAAUAUUCUCAUUGUAAAUAUUAUGCAGAGUAAACUAAAGUACACCACAAAUGACUCACAGCAUCUCUAUUACGAUGUUGAUUGAUUUUCAUUUAUUCCUCUGAAUAUGUGUGUAUCUCUGUGUCAAUGUGGAUAUGUAUUUGUGAAAGUCAUAAAAAAAUCUUAGUUUUUUCAUAUUGAUAAUUUUCAAUCCUCUUUUUAUUGUUUCCAUUGUAUCAUACUAUUUCCAUAUAUUAUUAUAUAUUGUUUAUAUUAAUGACUUUAAAUGGCUCUAUAGUAUAUUAGUUUCUGGCUAUACCUUGCUUCAUGUAACCAAAUUCUUUCAAUCAAAUACUGAGUCAUUAAAUUGCCUCUGUUCAUAAAAUCCCAAUGAACAAACCUGGACCAUCCUUGAGCUCUUUCUGUACAAAACCAUAGACAAGGAACAAUUUAAAGAUUUCAGAGACUUUAAAGCUUUUUAUUCAUGCUGUCAAAUUCCACUCCAGGAAAAUUGUACCUAUUUAUGUUCAAGGUGUUUAUGAGAAUUCUAUUCUGCUCUACCUACUAAACUGGGAAUAUAUUAAAUAUUUGUCAUUUUGUUCAAAAUCUAGUGCCAAGAACAAUUACAUACCUUCACAGAUCUCAAUUUUACCAUUUAUAAAAUGAUGAUAAAAAAGACAGUCUUGGCUACAAAAUUGUUGUAUCAAAUUUGUUAAUAUGCACCAAGUAUUUAGACUUAGCCUUCCAAGGGAGUAAAUGUUCAAUAUAUUAGUUUAAGUUCUUAUUGGCAAAAUGUGUUAUCAGGCUAUAAUUCAUAUCUUUUUCUUUGCCAAUAAUCAUUGGUAUUAAUUAUCAUUUUACAGGAAGUGUGUAUGUGUCAGAGGGUAGUCUCUGGGGUCAGUCCUCUUUUUCAACUCUGUUUGACACAGGGUCUUCGCUUGGCUUUGGAACAUUCUUUUUUCUUAAAUCUUCCUAAAAUUAUUUGUUAUCUACUGGCAUCUUCCAUUUUAUCCUGUUAUAAAAUCUCAUUGAAUAUAAAAAGUAUUGCUUUCCCAUUGGGAUUUGUCUUUAUUUCUUCAACUUAAAUUCUGUCAACAGAAAUGUUAAAUAUUUAAUGUGAUCAUAGAAUGUUCAACAUUUCAACUUUAACUUUAAACACACAAGAAUAAUUGAUGGUCAUGCAGUAGAAAUUCAUGAGCAAUCCUGCCCAGUCUUCAGUGGCACUUACCAUUCCAAUGUACAUAUCCAGGACUAGGAUGUUUCUCUCAAAACUGUGAAAUCCAUGCUUUGUAACACUACCUUUGUGAAUAACUAUCUAAAUACUCUCAGAGUUCCUCUUUUUUAUUUCAACUAAAAUUAAGACCUAAGUAAGUCUAAGAAAGUUACUCAGGUCCUGGAUAGUUAGGCUGUGAUUAAACCACGUUAUUAAUGUUUGGUUUUAUAGCAUUACAAUAUGUAAGUAUGGCCUUUGUAAUUUAUGCCAUGGGGAACUUGGGGUUUCCUAUGUAUCUUGGAAUGUAGUCAGGGUUGCUAAAUCUUUCUUGGCUAUAAAUAUAUCAUGUACUGUGUUUUCCAAGAUGGUCAUUUGAUUAUAUAUUUAUUCAUUAAAACAUAAACAU